UACAGAGGUCUCAAGCGUUGUUCGGAUUCAUUGGGCGUAAAGUGUGCGCAGGCGGCUUCGCAAGUCGAGUGUGAAAUCCCCGAGCUUAACUUGGGAAUUGCGCUCGAAACUACGGAGCUGGAGUGUGGCAGAGGAAGGUGGAAUUCCACGUGUAGCGGUGAAAUGCGUAGAGAUGUGGAGGAACACCGAUGGCGAAGGCAGCCUUCUGGGCCAACACUGACGCUCAUGCACGAAAGCGUGGGGAGCAAACAGG
rnacentral:rRNA from 1 species